UUGCAUAUUACGGGGCAAAUACCUCCAUUGGCAGGCAGCAAUUUUUCAGGCAAGUAUCGAGUCUUAAAAUGUGCCUUCUGCCAAAGGAGAUUUGCCCAGCAAUUCUUCU
rnacentral:pre_miRNA from 1 species